UACGUAGGGUGCAAGCGUUGUCCGGAAUUAUUGGGCGUAAAGAGCUCGUAGGCGGUCUGUUGCGUCGGCUGUGAAAACCCGGGGCUCAACCCCGGGCCUGCAGCCGAUACGGGCAGACUAGAGUUCGGCAGGGGAGACUGGAAUUCCUGGUGUAGCGGUGAAAUGCGCAGAUAUCAGGAGGAACACCGGUGGCGAAGGCAGUUCUCUGGGCCGUAACUGACGCUGAGGAGCGAAAGCGUGGGGAGCGAACAGG
rnacentral:rRNA from 1 species